CAGCACUGUAUGCCCAUGGCCCAUGAUCGUACCUCCUUAAUAAGGGGAAUUCGUUUUUUGAUUAAAGAUUUUUUCCCCCAAAAUUGCUUUUGGUUGUUUCUGUUUUACCCACUGCUGUUGUCUUUUUUUUUUUUUUUAACAUAUACAUGAGGUAGAGAAACCACCUCUACCUUUAUAACCCAUUCCCAAACAGUAUGUAUGCAUAAGGGAGGAGGGGCUUGGCCAAGAACUAGAUUUUUGCUGAGAAUCCUUUCCUCUUGCCUUAUGUACAGAUUUGGAGAAUAGUGUGGAGGAAAUUGUGGCAUUUGUGGGGAGGGGUAAAGAUGAGAAAAUAAACAUCUUAAGGAGAUUAGAGAAAGGUUUGCUAGAUGAGAUAGAAGCCAUAUUUUACUGUAUAUCCCAGCUUCUCCCAGGAUAUAUGCCAACUGUGCACGCUCCUAAGAUUGUGUUUCUAUUGGAGUGGAGAGUGAGAAGGAAAAAGGCCACACUACCAAAGCCAACUCAAGGCAAGAGCAGAGAUCUUCAUGUCACAAAAUAAGACAGAGAUUUUUGCUGGGCAUGGUAGCUGCAAAUACCAGGGUGUCUAUAAACCCAGGUACUCGAAGACUGAGAUGGGGGGAAUGCCAGUUUGCCCACAGCCUGGACUACGUGGUAAGACUUUUAAAAUAGAAAUGCAAAGAGGCUUAGAGGUGGCGGUAGCUCAAUGGCCGGACAGUUGCCUAGCAUGUGUGCAGGCCUGCAGGUCAGCACCAGUUCUGGCAAAUGAAACCCAAUCACAAGGCCUUUAAAAAGAAGAAAGACAAUAGUCACGCACUAGCCUUGUCAGUGUGGCACACUAAGGGCAGGGGUGGGCUUUGUCAGGGUGGCACACUAAGGGCAGGGGUGGUAUGCAAACGAGAAUGGCAGCAAACAGGCCCUGGCCCCACCUGGGGAUCCCUGAAGUCAGCCAUGUUUGUAGCUGUGUAUUCCUCCCUGAAGCAGCCUGGGAAUGAGACUGCAGACACAGAACUAAGAUGCCUGAAGAGAAAUAUCUAAAGUGUACACUUAUGGAACCCCCAGAAGAAAAGGAGCCUGCACCCCAGAACCUCAGUCCCUCCUACAGUGUGUCUGCUGGGGGAGAGGGGGGCUAACACAAUGCCUGAAUGUAAUUCUGAUGAAAACUAGGUAUUGCUGGAGAAGAAUUUUCUGACCGCCUCAGCAUCUGGAUUUUCUGGAGGAAGACUUUCAAGACCUAUUUACUAUUUCGGAAGUCAACGUAAGCAGGGUUUCCAACUGAAGUAUGAAAGAUGCCAAGGUGAAAGAUGGCUACUCUUGGUUGUCAAUGUGAAGUAUGAAAGAUGCCAAGUAUGAAAGAUGGCUACUCUUGGUUUUGAAUGUGACAACAUCUACAAUGAAGUAAAACCCAAGCAGCUUAAUUAAAUCAACUGAAGUGGGAAGACCCGCUUUUAAUCUAGAUCUUUUGGGGUUGGAAGAUCCACCUUUAAUCUAGGCCACACCUUCUGCUGGCAGCCUGUAUAAAGGACAUGGAAGACAGAAGUCUUCACUCUGCCUGCUGCUCUCCCUCACUGGCAAGCCCAUUCAUCCCUUCACUGGUACUGAAGGCUAUUUCUUUGGGAUUCUUUCAACUGAAGACCAGAUGAGACCUCCAGCCUCAUAGACUGAGCAACUACUGGACUCUUGGACUUUGCAUUGGUAGACAUCCAUGGUCGGACUAGCUGGACCUCAGCCCGUAAGGCAUUGUAAAAAGUCCCUAUAUGCGUAUUUAUUCUGUCAGCCCUGAAUGACAGAUGGUUCUAGCAGGAGCAAGGCACAAUGCUGGGAGUUAAAAUGUGCUUUAGCUGUCACACUUUCACACUCUGCAGCUGCGGUCAUGCGCACAAGACCUGCACAAGACUGGGCCCAUCUACAUCCUGUCAUGGAGUAGGGAGAUGUUCAUAUGGCGUUACUCCUCCCUGAGAGUGGCUAGGCAGGUGACAAUCGUCGUCAAGGAGCAACUAAUGGAAGCUCACUCCUUGAGGAUUCCUAGGUAGUUGAUGGUUGCUGGGGAAGGAAGAGACUUGUUUUUCUAUAGCAUAGCCUCUGGGAGGGUACCCAUGGUUCUGUAAAUAACUCCUCACCUAUGUUCCUAUAGACAAUCCUAAUGAUUGCUCUCUCUCUCACACACACACACACACACACACACACACACUCACACACACACACAAGGCCAUGAUGGUGCUGGAGAAUGGCUCAGGUGUUAGGAGCAUUGUUUACUUUUGCCAUGACCUGGGUUGAGGGCCCAACACCCACAGGCUCAGAACUGCCUGAAACUCCAGUUCCAAGGGAUCUGGUGCCUUUUUCUGACAUCCGCCAACACCAGGCAUGUUGUUGCACAUACAUGCAUGGCAAGACAUUCAUACACAUAAAAUAAAAAUAAAAAUAAAUUAUAUAUACAUAUAUAUACCAUAACAGUACAAGGGAAACCCAGAUGAGGAAGAUGAGAGGGAACAAGAGGAUGUAAUAGGAUCGAAUAUAAUGAAAGCACACUUAUAUACAUGUAUGAAAAUGUUAUAAUGAAACCCAUUAUUAUGGAUAAUUAACAUGCUAAUAAAAAAACUUUAAAGGGGAACUGCUGAGAUUUCUCAGUGAUUAAGAAUGCUUUCUGUUCUUACAGAAGGCCUAAAUUCAUGUCCCAGCCCCCACAUCUACUAGCUCACAAGCAUGGAGAUGCUGUGAAUCCAACCUAGGCCCUCUGAAAGAGCAGCCAGUGCUCUUCACUCUGAGCCAUGUUUCUAACCCCAAGUUGUGAACUUUUAAACUCAUGAUAAACUGCAUAGGAACAGUUAAAUCUCAGCAAAGCUCUUGGUGCUGUGUCAGAAGUGUGAAGUGAAACAGAUUGUAGUAAAAAUACAAGCAUGGCACCCCUUAUGAUAAAGUACUGAAAAUAUGCUUGAAUGAUAUUUGGUGCCUGCUUUCCGUGUUACCAUAAAACAGCAAAAGCCAAAAAAUCCACCUUCUUAAACGCAAUCUGGAAACUAUUUAAAGGGCCAGAUACUAUGAAACAGAAGAAUGGAUUAAGAACUGAAGUGGAUCUGGGAGAAGAGUAUGUGUGAGUGAUAAUUAUUAAUAUAGUAAUAAUAUCAUUAUCACAGUAACUAUUUGUCUGUUGCCUACUGCAGUGAAACUCCACAGUAUAGACAUUUUCCUGAAGGCGUCAGUUGUUGCCUGAGCAACAUGAGUAACCCGAGUAAUGCUGAUGGGGAAUUAUGUGUGUGUCCUGAAUGGAAGCAGGUCCCUCCUCCAGCACAGAGGAAGGGCUACGUGCGGCCAACAUCUGCGUGCCCAAGUCUGACUCCCCCCACCACCUCUGUGUCUUACUAAUACUUCUUUGCAUCUACUCUUCAUUCAGGUCAAGGAAGCUGACCGGCUGAGUAAUGGCUCAGUCAUGGUUUUUAAUACCUCUGCUUCGCCACAUCUGUAUGAGAUCCAGCAGCUGCAAGCCCUGGCUAAUUACAGCAUCGCUGUGUCCUGUCGGAAUGAGAUUGGCUGGUCUGCAGUAAGCCCUUGGAUUCUGGCCAGCACAACAGAAGGAGGUAAUUCCUGUGAUACACAAUGACCAGUUUUCCCAACGACCUGUGAUCAGACAAGCCUUUCCCAAAUAGCCCAAUGUCCUGUGCACUCUGCUUGUUUGGUGCAUUUUAGUGGAGUGGCCAAUAAAAUAGGAAAGAAAAUAGUUCCUUAGAAUUUUAAGAGGCUUGAGUUU
rnacentral:lncRNA from 1 species